GAUGAACGCUGGCGGCGUGCCUAAUACAUGCAAGUCGAGCGAACAGAUGAGGAGCUUGCUCCUCUGACGUUAGCGGCGGACGGGUGAGUAACACGUGGAUAACCUACCUAUAAGACUGGGAUAACUUCGGGAAACCGGAGCUAAUACCGGAUAAUAUAUUGAACCGCAUGGUUCAAUAGUGAAAGACGGUUUUGCUGUCACUUAUAGAUGGAUCCGCGCCGCAUUAGCUAGUUGGUAAGGUAACGGCUUACCAAGGCAACGAUGCGUAGCCGACCUGAGAGGGUGAUAGGCCACACUGGAAAUGAGACACGGUCCAGACUCCUACGGGAGGCAGCAGUAGGGAAUCUUCCGCAAAGGGCGAAAGCCUGACGGAGCAACGCCGCGUGAGUGAUGAAGGUCUUCGGAUCGUAAAACUCUGUUAUUAGGGAAGAACAAAUGUGUAAGUAACUAUGCACGUCUUGACGGUACCUAAUCAGAAAGCCACGGCUAACUACGUG
rnacentral:rRNA from 1 species